rnacentral:rRNA from 1 species
AUAAUGGGUCAGCGACUUAUAUUCUGUAGCAAGGUUAACCGAAUAGGGGAGCCGAAGGGAAACCGAGUCUUAACUGGGCGUUAAGUUGCAGGGUAUAGACCCGAAACCCGGUGAUCUAGCCAUGGGCAGGUUGAAGGUUGGGUAACACUAACUGGAGGACCGAACCGACUAAUGUUGAAAAAUUAGCGGAUGACUUGUGGCUGGGGGUGAAAGGCCAAUCAAACCGGGAGAUAGCUGGUUCUCCCCGAAAGCUAUUUAGGUAGCGCCUCGUGAAUUCAUCUCCGGGGGUAGAGCACUGUUUCGGCAAGGGGGGCAUCCCGACUUACCAACCCGAUGCAAACUGCGAAUACCGGAGAAUGUUAUCACGGGAGACACACGGCGGGUGCUAACGUCCGUCGUGAAGAGGGAAACAACCCAGACCGCCAGCUAAGGUCCCAAAGUCAUGGUUAAGUGGGAAACGAUGUGGGAAGGCCCAGACAGCCAGGAUGUUGGCUUAGAAGCAGCCAUCAUUUAAAGAAAGCGUAAUAGCUCACUGGUCGAGUCGGCCUGCGCGGAAGAUGUAACGGGGCUAAACCAUGCACCGAAGCUGCGGCAGCGACGCUUAUGCGUUGUUGGGUA